CGGGCUGUAGCGCAGCUUGGUAGCGCACCUGACUGGGGGUCAGGGGGUCGUCGGUUCGAAUCCGGCCAGCCCGAC
rnacentral:tRNA from 2 species